GGCGCGCGGCGGCGACGGCGCGCCGUUGGUGUCAUGCGGAAGAUGGCGGCGUCCAGGGGAGGUUGAGGGCUCUGAGGAGGCGUUGAGAGGUUUCCGUACAGCCCGAACGUGCGGCUUUGGGGAUCCCUUCGCUCUGUGUUUCCUGCUCCAGGUUUCGCGUCUCGCAUCUUCCCAGACCCUCGGGCGCGAUGUGGAGGAGCUGCCUCCGGCUGCGGGACGGGGGACGCCGUCUCCUGAAUCGGCCUGCGGGUGGCCCCAGUGCUUCUAUGAGUCCGGGGCCAACCAUCCCGUCUCCAGCCCGGGCUUACGCCCCGCCGACAGAAAGGAAGAGGUUUUAUCAGAAUGUCAGCAUCACACAGGGUGAAGGUGGCUUUGAGAUAAACCUGGACCACAGGAAGCUGAAAACUCCCCAAGCCAAGCUCUUUACCGUCCCCAGCGAGGCCCUGGCUAUUGCAGUGGCUACUGAGUGGGAUUCCCAGCAGGAUACCAUCAAGUACUACACCAUGCACCUGGUAACAAGUUCACAGUGUGAACCUGGACCCUGAGACCCACCCAGGGCUUCGUAGGGUAGACCCCUUACCAAAUUCUGACAAGGCCCUGGGGGAUGGUCCUUUGCCUGUCUGGCCCCCAGGU
rnacentral:sRNA from 1 species